rnacentral:rRNA from 1 species
UACGUAGGGUGCGAGCGUUGUCCGGAAUUAUUGGGCGUAAAGGGCUCGUAGGCGGUUUGUCGCGUCGGGUGUGAAAACCUCGGGCUUAACUCGGGGCUUGCUUUCGAUACGGGCAGACUAGAGGUAUGCAGGGGAGAACGGAAUUCCUGGUGUAGCGGUGAAAUGCGCAGAUAUCAGGAGGAACACCGGUGGCGAAGGCGGUUCUCUGGGCAUGAUCUGACGCUGAGGAGCGAAAGUGUGGGGAGCGAACAGG